rnacentral:rRNA from 1 species
GUGCACCAGUCGCGAAACCUCCGCAAUGCUCGAAAGAGCGACGGGGGGACUCCAAGUGCCUACGCUCAGCGUAGGCUGUUCCCGAGCCUAAAAAGCUCGGGGAGUAAGGGCUGGGUAAGACGGGUGCCAGCCGCCGCGGUAAUACCCGCAGCCCGAGUGGUGGCCGCUAUUAUUGGGCCUAAAGCGUCCGUAGCCGGCUCGGUAAAUGCCUGGGUAAAUCGUCUGGCCCAACCAAACGAAUUCCGGGUAGACUGCCGGGCUAGGGGACCGGAGGAGGGAGAGGGUACUCCAGGGGUAGGGGUGAAAUCAGCAAGGUGAGUUGCUGAUGUAACUUGCCUUGCAAGUCACAAUCCUGUAAUCCCCUGGAGGACCACCGGUGGCGAAGGCGCUCUCCUAGGACGGGUCCGACGGUGAGGGACGAAAGCCAGGGGAGCAAACCGGAUUAGAUACCCCUGUAGU